GUGCCCUCGCUUUGGCAUCCAUGGGGAAGAGAGGGAGGGCUCACACUGUGCGUUAGUUACCCAGCACUGCCAGGCCAAUCACUCCAAGGCUCAGGGGCUUAAAACAGCAGCUGCCACUUCGACUCUCUCAGGGUCUGUGUGCAGGGCCUUGGCUGGGAGGCUCUGCCACUGGAUGUCUCCGGAGUCUGCUGUGAUGUCACCCAGGGCUGCAGUCACCAGAAGGCCCGCUGUGCUGAGGCCCAUGGUGGGACCGACACCCCACAUGCUGCCACCCAUGGCUCGUGACUGGAUUCACCUUCAUGCCCUUGGCAACAAGAGUAGGGGGAGCGACAAAGGCUGUUCCUUCUGUGUGUUCCUCAGGCCUGUCACUCUCCUGUCCUGACACAGUACCACACCUGCAAUUUAAAGGAGAUAGAAAACCGUGACCAAACUGGACUCUACUCUGAGCCUGACCCACACCUAAACUGGAUGGUUUAACUGUUGAUGUUGGAGGCUUCUGAUUUGUUGACACCAAGAUGACAUUUCAGAUUGAACCGAUGUUGUACUGGCUUGAGAAGAAAAAGGUCAAAGCAUGUGAGAUAGAUAUGAAACUUUGAGGAGAGAAGAUAGAUUGUUGCCAGUUAAAUAAUGCCUUCCCCUAUGAUGUCCAUGAUCUAAUCCCUGGAACCUGUGAAUGUAAUGCCUUGCACGAUAAAAACCACUUUACAGAUGUGAUGGCAUGGAGGAUACUGAGGUAGGAGAUGAUUCUGGGUGCCUAAUGUAAUCCCAGAACCUUGCUAAAAGGGAGGCAGGAACAGGGAAAUCAGACAAAGAGGACUGGAAGGCAGAAGUGGAGAUCAGAGAGAAAAAAAACAAUGCUGCAUGUCUGGCUUUGAAAAUGAAGAAAGGGACCAUAAGCCAAGGGAUACAUACAGUGGUCUCUAAGAGUUGGGAAGAGCAAGGAAACAGAUUUUCCCUAGAGUCUCUGAAAGCAAGGAAUGCCUGCCAACAUCUUCAAGUGAACACAAUGUUUUGACUCUGGAGUUACAGUAUGAUUAAUAAAUUCAUA